rnacentral:rRNA from 1 species
GACGAACGCUGGCGGCGUGCUUAACACAUGCAAGUCGAACGGAAAGGCCCUGCUUUUGUGGGGUGCUCGAGUGGCGAACGGGUGAGUAACACGUGAGUAACCUGCCCUUGACUUUGGGAUAACUUCAGGAAACUGGGGCUAAUACCGGAUAGGAGCUCCUGCUGCAUGGUGGGGGAUGGAAAGUUUCGGCGGUUGGGGAUGGACUCGCGGCUUAUCAGCUUGUUGGUGGGGUAGUGGCUUACCAAGGCUUUGACGGGUAGCCGGCCUGAGAGGGUGACCGGCCACAUUGGGACUGAGAUACGGCCCAGACUCCUACGGGAGGCAGAAGUGGGGAAUAUUGCACAAUGGGCGGAAGCCUGAUGCAGCAACGCCGCGUGCGGGAUGACGGCCUUCGGGUUGUAAACCGCUUUCGCCUGUGACGAAGCGUGAGUGACGGUAAUGGGUAAAGAAGCACCGGCUAACUACGUG